CCUACGGGAGGCAGCAGUGGGGAAUAUUGCGCAAUGGGCGAAAGCCUGACGCAGCGACGCCGCGUGAGGGAUGAAGGUCUUCGGAUCGUAAACCUCUGUCAGUAGGGAAGAACGGUCACUGUGCUAAUCAGCAGUGAAUUGACGGUACCUGCAAAGGAAGCACCGGCUAACUCCGUCCCAGCAGCCACGAUAAUACGGAGGGUGCUAGCGUUAAUCGGAAUUACUGGGCGUAAAGCGCUCGUAGGCGGUAUGUCAAGUCAAGGGUGAAAUCCCCGCGCGCAACGUGGGAACUGCCUUUGAAACGGGCAAACUGGAGUGUGUGAGAGGAUAGUGGAAGGCCAGGUGUAGGAGUGAAAUGCGUAGAUAUCUGGAGGAACAUCAGUGGCGAAGGCGACUAUCUGGCACAUAACUGACGCUGAGGAGCGAAAGCGUGGGUAGCAAACAGGAUUAGAUACCCUGGUAGUC
rnacentral:rRNA from 1 species